AUAUGUAUAUAUAUAGACAUCGAAAAUUACUAUUUGUAAAUCUCACAACGAGAGAUGUUCAGCAACAGUACUUUGGAGUAAAGAUUUUUUGCUAACAUAACACGGCAGUCCUGGUUUAGCACGAAUGUUACUGUAAUUCAGCCCCAGGAGAUAUCGUCUCCAGUUGACUAU